CGCUGGCGGCAUGCCUAAUACAUGCAAAUCGAACGAAGCCUUUUAGGCUUAGUGGUGAACGGGUGAGUAACACGUAUCCAACCUACCCUUAAGUUGGGGAUAACUAGUCGAAAGAUUAGCUAAUACCGAAUAAUAACAUCAAUAUCGCAUGAGAAGAUGUAGAAAGUCGCGUUUGCGACGCUUUUGGAUGGGGGUGCGACGUAUCAGAUAGUUGGUGAGGUAAUGGCUCACCAAGUCAAUGACGCGUAGCUGUACUGAGAGGUAGAACAGCCACAAUGGGACUGAGACACGGCCCAUACUCCUACGGGAGGCAGCAGUAGGGAAUUUUUCACAAUGGGCGCAAGCCUUAUGAAGCAAUGCCGCGUGAACGAUGAAGGUCUUAUAGAUUGUAAAGUUCUUUUAUAUGGGAAGAAACGCUAAGAUAGGAAAUGAUUUUAGUUUGACUGUACCAUUUGAAUAAGUAUCGGCUAACUAUGUGCCAGCAGCCGCGGUAAUACAUAGGAUGCAAGCGUUAUCCGGAUUUACUGGGCGUAAAACGAGCGCAGGCGGGUUUGUAAGUUUGGUAUUAAAUCUAGAUGCUUAACGUCUAGCUGUAUCAAAAACUGUAAACCUAGAGUGUAGUAGGGAGUUGGGGAACUCCAUGUGGAGCGGUAAAAUGCGUAGAUAUAUGGAAGAACACCGGUGGCGAAGGCGCCAACUUGGACUAU
rnacentral:rRNA from 1 species